GAACUGGUGAGUAACACGUGGGAAACCUGCCCCCUAGCGGGGGAUAACACCUGGAAACAGAUGCUAAUACCGCAUAACAACUUGGACCGCAUGGUCCGAGCUUGAAAGAUGGCUUCGGCUAUCACCUUUGGAUGGUCCCGCGGCGUAUUAGCUAGAUGGUGGGGUAACGGCUCACCAUGGCAAUGAUACAUAGCCGACCUGAGAGGGUAAUCGGCCACAUUGGGACUGAGACACGGCCCAAACUCCUACGGGAGGCAGCAGUAGGGAAUCUUCCACAAUGGACGAAAGUCUGAUGGAGCAACGCCGCGUGAGUGAAGAAGGGUUUCGGCUCGUAAAACUCUGUUGUUAAAGAAGAACAUAUCUGAGAGUAACUGUUCAGGUAUUGACGGUAUUUAACCAGAAAGCCACGGCUAACUACGUGCCAGCAGCCGCGGUAAUACGUAGGUGGCAAGCGUUGUCCGGAUUUAUUGGGCGUAAAGCGAGCGCAGGCGGUUUUUUAAGUCUGAUGUGAAAGCCUUCGGCUCAACCGAAGAAGUGCAUCGGAAACUGGGAAACUUGAGUGCAGAAGAGGACAGUGGAACUCCAUGUGUAGCGGUGAAAUGCGUAGAUAUAUGGAAGAACACCAGUGGCGAAGGCGGCUGUCUGGUCUGUAACUGACGCUGAGGCUCGAAAGUAUGGGUAGCAAACAGGAUUAGAUACCCUGGUAGUCCAUACCGUANACGAUGAAUGCUAAGUGUUGGAGGGUUUCCGCCCUUCAGUGCUGCAGCUAACGCAUUAAGCAUUCCGCCUGGGGAGUACGGCCGCAAGGCUGAAAC
rnacentral:rRNA from 1 species